rnacentral:rRNA from 1 species
UACGUAGGUGGCUAGCGUUGUCCGGAUUUACUGGGCGUAAAGAGCGCGCAGGCGGUCGUUCAAGUCGAGUGUGAAAGCCCCCGGCUCAACUGGGGAGGGUCACUCGAUACUGAUCGACUUGAGGGCUCGAGAGGGACACGGAAUUCCGGGUGGAGUGGUGAAAUGCGUAGAGAUCCGGAGGAACACCGAAGGCGAAGGCAGUGUCCUGGCGAGUAUCCUGACGCUGAGGUGCGAAAGCCAGGGGAGCGAACGGG